rnacentral:rRNA from 1 species
UACGAAGGGGGCUAGCGUUGCUCGGAAUCACUGGGCGUAAAGGGUGCGUAGGCGGUUUGCUAAGUUGAAUGUGAAAACUCUGGGCUUAACCCAGAGCCUGCAUUCAAUACUGGCAGGCUAGAGUUCUGGAGGGGAUAGCGGAAUUCCUGGUGUAGCGGUGAAAUGCGUAGAUAUCAGGGAGGAACAUCGGUGGCGAAGGCGGCUAUCUGGACAGAGUCUGACGCUGAGGCGCGAAAGCUAGGGGAGCAAACAGG